GUAAUCUUUUUUUUUUUUUUAAACAGAGUCUCGCUCUGUCACCCAGGCUGCAGUGCAGUGACCCAAUCUUGGCUCACUGCAAACUCCAUCUCCAGGGUUCAAGCCAUUCUCAUGCUCAGCCUCCCAAGUAGCUGGGAUUACAGGUGUGCACCACUGCGCCUGGCUAAUCUUUGUAAUUUUAGUAGACAGGGUUUCUCCAUGUUGGCCAGGCUGGUCUUGAACUCCUGACCUCAGGUGAUCCACCCAUCUCGGCCUCUCAAGGUGCUGGGAUUACAGGGCGUGAGCCACCAUGCCCCGCCAGGAGUAGUAAUCUUUAUUUUUAUGUGGGUGAUCCAAAAAUAAUUCUCUCUAUUCUGGAAGGUGCUCAGGCACUGAUAUUUAAAAAAGGAUGUUCCCUUUUUCUAUGGGGCAUUUCAAGCAAAACAAUGAAACUGCAUUUUAAGGAUCUAUGAAGCUUUUCUGUCCGGCUCUACUGAUGAGCUUUUCUGAUGAAACUCCACUCUGUAUUAAGAAGAGGCACCAUCAGCUCUCCUCUCCUAUGAAGUACAAGAAUUUGAUGAUGUGGAAAACGCUCAUGGUGUGAAGUGAAAAACGCAAGACACGAAACUGUACUUAUGGGACACAAAUCCAGGAGCCAUUCCUUCUGCCUGGGAGGAGGGAGUGAUGAAGACCAGAGGAAUCCCAGAGGAGAAGCCAUCUGAGAUCGGGAGGAGGAGAAAUGGAACAUCAGGCGGAGGAAACAGCCCAGACAAUCGCACUGGGACGUGAAAACCCUUGGGCUGCAUGCGGGGAGAAAACCAGAAUUGGGGAUGGUUAGGGUUUUGGAGGGAAACACAGGGACAUGUGACCAAAAAUAAUAAUAACUACUGUUACUUAUUGAGGACUUUCUAUGUACUAGAAUAAGAAAAUCAUGAUAGCUAAGACUGAUAAAACGCUAAGUGUCAAACGCUGUCUUCAGCACUUUACACAUAUUCACUUAUUUAAUUAAUCGGAGAAAAUAACUUUUAUGAGCCAGGGACUCUGCAUACAUUAUCUCUUUUCAUUAGCCCAGUAAUCCCAUGGGGUAGGUACUAGUACUAUCCCUGUUUUAGAAAUGAGGAAAUCAAACCUGAGAGGCUAAACCACUUGCCCAAGAUUACACAGCUAAUGUCAGUGCCUAGAUUCAAACCCACAUCCGUAUAACUCCAGAGCCUGAUGCAACACACCUUAUUUUCCAGGUGGAGAAACUGAUAAUGAGAGAGAAAUGACUUGCCUAAGAUCCCUCAGCAAGUUUUAGCAAAGCCUCGUUGUAGAAUCCCAGCCUCAAACCUCGUCCAUCUGUUCCUUUUUCUGAGCCUCUUUAGUCAAACCCAGGUUGACUAGAGAAGUGCUAAGUGUUGGAGAGGGCGAGGCACUCCUGAAGAUGAUGGGUAGGUAGGUCUAUCAAACCCUACUCAUGGGCACCCAUGAGGGAAAUCAAAUAAGUGGUUCUGGCCAUUAAUGUCGUUUGGGACUCCGUUAGUCUCCAGCUGCUGUAAAAUUCGUAUCUUUCUGUGAACCCGAAAUAUCUGAGAUAGGUCUCAGUCAAUUUAGAAGGUUAAUUUUGCCAAGCUUAAGAACGUGCUCAUGACACAGCCUCAGGAGGUCCCAACAUGUGCCCAGGGUGGUGGGGGUGUAGCCUCCUUUUAUAUAUUUUGGGGAGACAUGAGACAUCAAUCAAUAUGUGUAGGAUGUACAUUGCUUCCGGUCCGGUAAGGCAAGACAACUCCAAGCUGCAGAAAGGGUGGUGCUUCCAGGUUAUAAGUAGAUAAGAAACAGAAGAGGUUACAUUCUUUUGAGUCCUUGAUCAACCUUCCACUGAAUACACAAUUUAGUCUAGCUCAGUGAAUCUACAUUUUUACAUAAACAAUAGGGCAGAAGAAGCAAUCAGAUAUGCAUUUGUUUCCGGUGAGCCUCAGAGGGAUGGCUUUAAAUUCUGUCUGUCCUUUGUCCACAAGGAAUUUCCUUGUGUGAAAAUUGUGAGGAAGGUAUGUAGCUGUUUCUCUUUGUAGCUAUCUUAUUUAAGAAUAGGAUGGUGGCCUGGCAUUGUGGCUUAGGCCUGUAAUCCCAGCACUUUGGGAGGCCAAGGCGGGCAGAUCACCUGAGGUCAGGAAUUCGAGACCAGUCUGACCAAUGUGGCGAAACCCUGUCUCUACUAAAAAUACAAAAAAAAUUAGCCAGGCGUGGUGGCACACCUGUAAUCCCAGCUACUCAGGAGGCUGAGGCAGGAGAUCGCUUAAACCUCGGAAGGGGAGGUUGCAGUGAGCCAAGAUCACGC
rnacentral:lncRNA from 1 species